GACAGAGGGUGCAAACGUUGUUCGGAAUUACUGGGCGUAAAGCGAGUGUAGGCGGUUUCCUAAGUCAGGUGUGAAAGCCCCGGGCUCAACCCGGGAAGUGCACUUGAAACUGGGAGGCUAGAGUAUCGGAGAGGUUGGUGGAGUUCUCGGUGUAGAGGUGAAAUUCGUAGAUAUCGAGAGGAACACCGGUGGCGAAGGCGGCCAACUGGACGAAUACUGACGCUGAGACUCGAAAGCGUGGGGAGCAAACAGG
rnacentral:rRNA from 1 species